rnacentral:rRNA from 1 species
GACGAACGCUGGCGGCGUGCUUAACACAUGCAAGUCGAGCGGAAAGGCCCUUCGGGGUACUCGAGCGGCGAACGGGUGAGUAACACGUGAGCAAUCUGCCCUUAGCUUCGGGAUAGCUCCGGGAAACUGGAAUUAAUACCGGAUAUGACUUCGGCCGACAUCGGCUGUGGUGGAAAGAUUUAUCGGCUAGGGAUGAGCAC